UUCUAUUUAUUCUUAAGAACCACUCUUGAGAAAGCACUGGUUAUUUAUUUUCUUAUUCUUGAGAAAUGAUUGAUUCUCAAGAGAAAAUUUGAUUCUCAAACUGAUUCUCCAGGGUGAAUUUCUGUACAGUAGGAUGGAAGGUGAUUCCUGGUUAGAAUCUGCCUAUAAGACCCACUUUAUCAAAGCUUGGAAAGGGUAAGACUGGAAGGAAAAGGUUUAUUAAUCAACUCACAAAUAUUUACUGAACUUUACUACCUACAAAGCAUUUUAGAAAGCCAUAGUUACAUGAAAUGUUGCUUAGGAGAUAAGAAUACACAGAUUUUUAAUAUAAUUCAGACAAACAGAGUACCUACUAAAGCCAUAGUAGCAGAUGCAAAGUAAACACAUUUAGUAGCUCAGUAGUAGUGACUGGCACCAUUCCUCCAAACCUAAGCUAACCUCGUCAAACAAGGGAAAGAAUGACUCCCUAUAACCAUACAGUACACUCAUUCAACAAAUAUUUGUUGAGUACCUUCUAUAAGCCAGGAAUAUCUACUAAUUUGUCUCUUGUAAUACUUGAAUGACAUUAGAAAUCAGGGAUCAGAAGCCUUCAAGGUACACACUAAUCAAGGAGAAACACUAAUUAAGAUACUAGGCAGUCCAUGGAAGUGAUGUAAGAAAAGUACAAGCAACAUACCACAGACACAUAAGGGAAAGAAAUCAAUUAUAUCUGAGGAAUUUGGAAUGGUCUCAUGAAGGAUAGGUAAUGUGUUGUACUUCUAAAAGAUGAAUAUGGCUUUGGCAGGUGGAGUAUGGUGGUAAUGCUGAUGGAAGAAGGGAAGUGAGGGUCUUCCAGACAGAGGGAAGACAGAUAAGGACUGUCUCCUCUGCCAUCCUCUGGAAGAAGAGCAGGUCUCAGUGUGCAUGCACAUCACUCCGGUGGUCUGAACAGAACCCCAGACCCUCAAGCGAGCUGCUGUUAACAGGGUCCUCCAGCAUUUUCUCACUCUUCCUCACAUAGCAUGGUGUCAGGUAUUAUGAAAAAUGACUGUAAACUCUAUGUUCUUUUUUGUUUUGGUCCAAAUUGAAGUGUAUUUGGAAGUUUUCUACUAAAGACAGGCUCAUAGAUUUAAGUUUUCUUCUCUCUUUUUGGUUCUUUUUUUUUUUUUCCUCCACAUCCAUCAUUUGGAUGAACUACAGGGAGGGAAGUCUUAUAAACAAGUAAUUAUUGGACCACACUAAUUACAGUUCACACUGUCCUUCUGAGUUUGCAUGACAGACAGAUGGCCAAAAGGUUUAAAUUCAGGUCAGAUUAUCAGCCAUAGUUAACAACAUAUACACACUCGUGAAAUAUCACCAUGAAAAACUGAGAAAAUCCCGGCUUUACUUAAUAGUUUCUAACCAGCUAAAGUUGUACAGAACUUUACCUCUCGGCCAAUAAGCUUCACCCACACUUUGUCUCCAACAUCUACUAUCUCAGAGGGCUUAUCCACGCGACAGGAUGACAUGUGAGUUCGAUGGACCAGACCUGGGCACAAGAAGAAAAAACGCACUGGGCAUACUCAUACGCAUACUCUAAAUAACACAGUAAAGAGACAGUGGGAGUUGAGGAUUCACUGAAAAAGUUUUCAUUAAUUUAAAACUGAAAAUUAAAACAAUUGAGAUGACUUUUUAUAUGUAAUCAACUAACAAAUAUUCUUUAAAAUAAUGCUUAAUUAUAGAGUAGAGAUGUGAUACAACAGCUCUAUUUAUAUAAUACUGGUAAAAAUACAAGUUGGUACAAUUCUUUGAAAACAAAAGGCAUUAAGAUGUUUAUACCUUUGAUGCAAAAAACACCACUUGAAUUUUUCCAAAAGAAAAAUUCAACAGAGGCAAAAAUUUAUGGCAUAUAAAAAUACCUGCAGUAUUAUUAUCUACAAAGGUUAAAAAUAAAAAUUAUUACAAAAUGUAAAUGACCAAUACUUGGAAAACAGCUUGAUAAAUUAUGAUAAAUCUUUCGUAAAAGAGUAAGCAGCCAUUUAAAUUAGUUAUAAAAAAUAAUUAUGAUGUUAAGUGAAAAAAGUAAAAAUAAACAAGGUUACCAUUUUUAAGCUAUUAAAUUAGCAAAAUAUUUAGAAGAGAAUAAUACCCGGUAUUGAUAUAAAUAUAGUAAAAUAAGAAAUACUGCUGAAGCUAACAUAAAUUUUUAGAAGUCACUUAGCAAUGGCUAUCAAGAGUGAUAGAAAUAUUUAAUAAAAUUAAUAGACAUCCUUUUCCUUGUCUAUCCAAGGUCAUUUUCUGGGAGAACCACCUUCCUUACAUUCUAAAAAAAUCUGGUCAGUCCUUGUAGUUUGGUUGGAGCUGAUCUAACCCCCAACUGUGGGGUUAUGACACGGGCAUAGUCAAUCAAGGUACUUCAUUCCCCAGGCCACAGCAACUGACUGGUUCAGGGACAGACACAAGAUACUAGCUAAAUCAAAUCUUUCUCAAGACUUUUGUCAGGAUUAUAAACUACAAGAAGUUACCAAUGCCCAUCUUUACCACCAGGUGGCAAGAGUCAGCCAGACGGAAGCAAAGAAGAGCCUGCAUAAACAAGAGACAAAGCCCUGAAGGCAUAAACUAAGCACUGGAUCCAGCCCUGGUGGAAGCUAGAUUUAUUAAUAUCUUACACUGCCCAGGGAAAUUAGCCAGAAAUUUGCAAAAUGUUUCUCCUGCAUUUCUGUCCCUAGGAACUUGACCCAUAAUCACUUCUGAGACUAAGAAAAAAAUCUUAUACUUAGAAAAAUCUAUAUGUACCUAGAAAAGUGAUUUACAUCAAAAAUAUUCAAUGUAUUUUUAAGACAGAGAAAAAAAUAGAAACAACCAAACAUCCAGCAAUAGGGUAAUGGCUAAGUCAACUACGGUACGGCUACUUGACAGCCCAUUAAAAACAAUGUUCAAAAGAUUAUGUAAAAAUAUAUCAAUAAUUCAUUCUUUUGCAAAUAUUUGAGUGCCUACUAUGUGCCAUGCACUGUAGGAAACAGCAUUUCUCAUUUAAAUAAUGAAAAUGCUUAAAACAGAUUCCAAAAAUUAGAAAGGAAUAAUCCAAAAUGCUAUAGCAAUGGUUAGACCAGGGUAUAGGAUUGCAGGUUAAUUUUUUUUUAUUUUCAAAUGUUCUAAUAAUAGAGAAAACUCUAUUCUGAGGGAAAUUAAUAUAAUAAACACUUAUUCUGAAUGAAAAUAAACCUGGAAUCUAAAGAAAAAGUAAUAAGUCAAAGAUUUCUGUCCAAAAAACUUGUGCUCCCUUUAGUUUCCUGAGAGAAUUACUAACCUUUAUUCUCAAUCUCUCUCACACACAGGCAUACACAAGGUUGUCAGAACAUGCCUGUAACAAAGUAUCUGCCAUCUGUGUCUGGAGCUCCUGUUGGAAGCCACUCCUUUCUCUGCUCGUGGUUAUUGGGUCUCUCAGACCUACUUCAGCUGAUUCUGGAGGCUGACAGAUUCCAAUACUGCCAGAACUAAAAUGCUUUAUAUAUAUUAUAUAACCCAUGUUUUAAAUUUUAGACCAUCAUAUAAUCUUUAAAUUGGAUAAAAUUCAUGGAUCUGGGCUCUCUUCUUUUUCCUAAUCAAGUAAUGAGCAGAGUAACCUAAUUAGAAAACCCAGAGGAAAUUCAGAUGCCCUAAAGGAAAGAGAAACAUUUCAUUUUGACAUCUUUUUGGCUCCAAAUGUCCUCUAAUUCUAAACUUCACUUUUUUCCUGAACUGCAAAUGGAAGUUGUGAAGGAAAUUAAUGUUGAACCUAAUAUACUUGAGAGAACAUUUUUUUCCUGAAACAGGUCUAUUUAUUGGAGUACCACAAAGAAAGAAUGAGUUAACCAUUUGUUCUCCUAUGUGAUUCCAAAGUAGGAUAUAUUUUGGCCCUAGCAUCUCUUAAAUAUGGCAUUUUGCAGAGCA